rnacentral:rRNA from 1 species
GAUGAACGCUGGCGGCGUGCCUAAUACAUGCAAGUCGAGCGAACGGACGAGAAGCUUGCUUCUCUGAUGUUAGCGGCGGACGGGUGAGUAACACGUGGAUAACCUACCUAUAAGACUGGGAUAACUUCGGGAAACCGGAGCUAAUACCGGAUAAUAUUUUGAACCGCAUGGUUCAAAAGUGAAAGACGGUCUUGCUGUCACUUAUAGAUGGAUCCGCGCUGCAUUAGCUAGUUGGUAAGGUAACGGCUUACCAAGGCAACGAUGCAUAGCCGACCUGAGAGGGAGAUCGGCCACCCUGGACCUGAGACACGGUCCAGACUCCUACGGGAGGCAGCAGUAGGGAAUCUUCCGCAAUGGGCGCAAGCCUGACGGAGCAACGCCGCGUGAGUGAUGAAGGUCUUCGGAUCGUAAAACUCUGUUAUUAGGGAAGAACAUAUGUGUAAGUAACUGUGCACAUCUUGACGGUACCUAAUCAGAAAGCCACGGCUAACUACGUG